AUACAUGCAGUCGUGACGCGGGAACCAGUACAAUCGCCCUUCGGGGCGUGCGUCUGUGGAACGAGCGGCGGACGGGUGAGUAACACGUGGGCAACCUGCCCGAAAGACCGGGAUAACUUGCGGAAACGUGAGCUAAUACCGGAUAAUGUCUUUCCUCGCAUGAGGGAGGGCUGAAAGACGGCCUUUGUGCUGUCACUUACAAAUGGGCCCGCGGCGCAUUAGUUAGUUGGUGAGGUAAGAGCUCACCAAGGCGACGAUGCGUAGCCGACCUGAGAGGGUGAUCGGCCACACUGGGACUGAAACACGGCCCAGACUCCUACGGGAGGCAGCAGUAGGGAAUCUUCCGCAAUGGACGAAAGUCUGACGGAGCAGCGCCGCGUGAGUGAUGAAGGUCUUCGGAUCGAAACUCUGUUGUCAGGG
rnacentral:rRNA from 1 species